ensembl:lncRNA
AUGGAUCGACCGCGGCUCGAUCGAAGACCCUUCUCAUCUCCUCCGAGAGGGUGUGGAACGAGGCGCAACACUUGGUUCUCCCACACCGCCGUCCCCCAUAAGGCGGCCUUGCCGGAAAGUAGAGUCAGCGUGAACGCAACCUUCAAUUCCUCGGUGGCGAAGGUGCGGGGCUGUAAGGCAAAGUGCAUGGAACACUUAAGGAAAGUUCUGCAGAAAGUUGGCUCACCGGAGUAGUUCUCUGGCGCCGGGAGUCGCGGCUCUGGCCGGAACUGAUCCUGUGGAAUUUCCCGGGGGACGGGCGGCGCAAGCGGUGCGAUGGGCGCAGUGGGAGAGGUGAGCUGGUGGAUCUGCUGGGUGAGCUCGGACACCUGUGCCACCAGCGCUUGGAUAGCGCGUCCGGUGUUCGUGAUGUUCUCCUGCUGCUGAUCCAUACGGUUGACGCUGUGGUGAAUAAAGUCCGUUAAAGAGGUGGUGCUCGCUGCUUCCAUUUUUAAGGGUGAGAGCGUUCUGUGACGACUGGGUGAAGGAGAAGCUGGAAACAAGUGCGAGUAUGAAACAGUUUAAUGAAGACCAAACAAAACAAACAAAAAUACAAACAACGCUGGGAAGACGACAAUCCAAGAUGGUGGGAGACGGUGAGUAAUCCAGAUGGUGAUGGUGAGUUGGCAGCAGGAGAGGAUGGCACAGGAACUGCGGGGAAUCGAGCCAAAGGUAAGUGGUGAUGCUUGUGAAGGUGCGAUGAGUGGAUGAGGUUCCGGGGGAAGACACGGACAUCCAACGCAGAACAACACAGACGCAAAAACCAGUUACCAAACAUAAAACAACGCUCUCACAAACACAAGACGUGAGACAAGCCAUAUAUAUAGGGAGAGGGUAAUGAGUGACAGCUGCUGCUGAUGACAAUUAACGGAGACGCCCACAAGCUAAUCAGUGCAGACGCGAAACACACAGAUUUCACCACAAAGUGCAAAACCCAGAGAUCACGGUUUACCAACCGUGACAAUAAAUCUUUGCUAUCACUUCUGAAAAAUUUAACACAUCCUUGCCGAAUAAAAGUUUUAAUUUCUUUCAAAAAAAGAAAGAAUAAAAAUGUACUGACCCCAACAUCUUGAACUGUAGUGUAUAUUGUUAGAAAAGAUUUCUAUCUUAAAUAAAUGCUCUUUUUUUAAACCUUUUUUUUUUCAUCAAAGAAUCCUGAAAAAUGUAUCACAGGUUAAUAUAUAUAUAUAUAUAUAUAUAUAUAUAUAUAUAUAUAUAUAUAUAUAUAUAUAUAUAUAUAAUAUGAAGCAGCACAACAGUUUCAGCACUGAUAAUAAAUCAUGAUAUUAGAAUGAUUUCUGAAGAUCAUGUGAUACUGAAGACUGGAGUAAUGAUGCUGAAAAUUCAGCUGCACAUCAUAGAAAUAUAUGUAUAUGUGUGUGUGUGUGUGUGUGUGUGUGUGUGUGUGUGUGUGUAUUAUGAGGUGCCAAACAGGAAAUAAUUAUAUAAAAAUCUGAAUAUGAUGUUAAUCUGAAUAUAUAAUUGUAAAUUGUGAAUACAUAGUUAUAAUUCUGAAUAUAUUGUUAUG